rnacentral:lncRNA from 1 species
GUCAAGAACUCAUCUUGCAGCAUGGAGGAAUCGUGAUGAUGGCUGCAGCCCCCAGAAGGUGAACUUGGCAGGAGCUGGCUGAGAUGAUUUUUCUGCUGAUGGUGAAAUGUGCUGGCAGAGUCUAUACAAGAUCUCAGAUACCUGGAACCACUGACUUUUGAACUUUUCAUUACUUGAAAUAAAUGUUCUUGUUGCUUAGCCACUUUUAGGUGAUAUAUUACGUUCUGGUGAAAGCAUUCUUCCUAAUACAAGCUGAGAGCUUACAGCUAGGAGACAACCUCCAGGAGCAGAGAUCACACACUCUCGGGCAGAAAAACAGCUUCUGUAUUCUUCCCUGUUUACCAUUCUGGCAUCAAUUUCAAGUGCUCAGUCCCUCAAGCUCUUUCCUCUUUACAAAAGCCCGGCUACUGCAACAAAGCAUCCUGUCUGCUGUAAGUUUCAAGAGACUCUUUGAAACUACUGACCAUCUUUCUCACUGCAUUCAUGCUGCAACAACCCAAAUCCUGCAAAGCUCUGACUGAAUCAGGAAAAAGUGACCUUGGUAGCUAGUCUCCAAAGAUGGCCACCACCAAUACUUGCCUUCCUGCGAUAUAUAUCAUACUCCUUGUAUCAGGAAGAGAAGUGUAAUUCCCUCCCCAUGAAUCUAGGCUGGCCUUAGUGACUUUCUUGGCCAAUAGAAUAUAGCAGAAGGCACAUUCUGGGAUUUGUAAGACUAGGUCGCAGGAAGCCUUAUGGCCUCUGCCAGGCCUCUUGCAAUGCUUGGCCUUGGAACACUCCCUCCUAC